CCUACGGGAGGCUGCAGUGAGGAAUAUUGGUCAAUGGGCGCGCGCCUGAACCAGCCAAGUAGCGUGAAGGAUGACUGCCCUACGGGUUGUCAACUUCUUUUAUAAAGGAAUAAAGUGAGGCACGUGUGCCUUUUUGUAUGUCCUUUAUGAAUAUGGAUCGGCUAACUCCUUUCCAGCAGCCGCGGUAAUACUGAGGAUCCGAGCGUUAUCCGGAUUUAUUGGGUUUAAAGGGAGCGUAGAUGGGUUGUUAAGUCAGUUGUGAAAGUUUGCGGCUCAACCGUAAAAUUGCAAUUGAUACUGGCAGCAUUGAGUACAGUUGAGGUAGGCGGAAUUAGUGGUGGAGCGGUGAAAUGCUUAGAUAUCACGAAGAACUCCGAGUGCGAAGGCAGCCUACUAAACUGCCACUGACACUGAUGCGCGAAAGUGUGGGUAUCAAACAGGAGUAGAUACCCCAGUAGUC
rnacentral:rRNA from 1 species